UGGGGAUUAGCCAAGCGGUAAGGCAACGGACUUUGACUUCGUCAUGCCUAGGUUAGAAUCCUAGAUCCCCAG
rnacentral:tRNA from 1 species